rnacentral:lncRNA from 1 species
GCACUAAACAAAAAAUCAUAAAAAUAUAUAACACAAGUUUGACAAUUAUAAAUCUAUUCAAAUACAUUAUGGUAAGGUCUAAUCGCGAAUUUUGACCGUUAAUCCAAGCGUAAACAAAAUGAUAAAAUAAUUAAAAGCAUCAAUUAAAAUCAACUAAUCAUUAUCUCUGGGCCAUCAAAUAAAUCAAUUUACAAAGAAAAUCAGCAUCUCAUUAGCUGCAAUUUCACUACUAUGUGACCGUAUCACCAUAGAACUCUGAAUGACCAACCUGUCAAUCUAUUUCAUGGGCACUCCCAUAUACAUUAAAAUGGGUACAAAUGUGCAUUAUAUUCAAUAAACAUUAAAAUAGUAUAAGUAACCCUUGUUACUUAACUAUACACACAACACGCCCACUCUCGUAAUGUAAAGAGAUUAAAUCUAGCUUAAUCAAACAUGUGUAAUACACAAAAUCAAACAAAA